UAAGGCAACCAUAUCACGUUGAAAGCACCGGCUAUCGUCCGAUCACCGAAGUUAAGCAACAUUGGGCUUCCGUUAGUAAGUGCAUGGGUGAAAGGCUGAAAAUACCGGCUGUUGCCGACC
rnacentral:rRNA from 1 species